GAAAUGUAAUAUUAAUUAUAUCUUCAAAGUUUUAAUGUUGUCUUCAAAUGCUGAGUGUAAAGGAAUUUUAUACUGACCAAGUCAGUCAGGUCUUUAGUGGGUCUGGGUUUUAGUGGGUUCCUUUUAAGCUCCUCCCACUGUUAUCCAGCAUGGAAUAGCUGAGAUCACAGUUCCUUCUUCGCUUCUAUGAUUUCAUUGGUGGCAUCAGAUGAAUUUAUAUAUAUUUACUUCGAACUCAGUGAAAUUGUAGAUAAAGAGAUAGGAGGACUUUUCCUGCUCACCCUGACCCCAGCGGCUCGCAGGGUUGAGGAAUUGAAGUGUUUCCUAACCUGUAUAAAAUGCAAUCAAGACACUUGAUGAAAGAAAAAAAGAAAGAAAUUGUAAACGAAAUGCUUAAAUAUGUUGUCUCACAUUAAAAAAUUGCUUUUGAAGAAAUAUUCUUUUAAACCA